ACGUAUCUCAUAUCCCAAAAGAAAUAUAAGUAUAGAGUCACCAUUUGCUUUCUCAAAAUCGCAACCAAACCACUGACCUCCUCCUCUCUCCCCCGCUUCUUUCUUCUCCACCAAACUAAAUCAGCAACCUCAUCCUUCUAGCCAACCACCACUACGCCCCACUGCCAAGAUUCUCCCAAUUUUGGCUAUGCCAACUCGUGACUCCGAUGAGUCAGCGACAAACAGACCCAAAUCAAUACAAGAGUGAAUUUUUUAUUUCAAAUCCGCAUUAAUAGUCCAAGGGUCGUCUAAAUUAGCAAAAGAAUGGUCCUUUUCAACUUUUUGAAUUUUGAUUCCUCCCUAUUAUUUUAACCGUUGGCUUUCCAUGAAGUUUUGGGUUUCAUAUCCGAAUUUUAAUAUCCAAAUUUGCCUAUAAAUACCCACAUUUUAACCUUCAGAGGGCGAGGCUUUUGGAGAUUCACAGAUCUCGAUCCCCCACAAUACUGGUUGAGCAUUCAAAAUACGGGAGUUUAUACCCCCAAAACAUCAAUAAUAGAGCUUUUCCAUUACUAGCUUAUAGUCUCUUGUUUCCCUCGACUUGAGUUUGAGUUUCGAAAUUGAGUUUGGGCCGGAUAAAACUAGACGGAGGCCUCACGUUUUCUGCACCAAAUAAGUGGAGUGCAAGAUGCGGGAAGCACGAUUGAGAUGGUUCGGACACGUGAAGAGGAGGGGCAUGGAUGCCCCGGUUCGUAGGUGUGAGAGGCUAGCGUUGGAUGGUUUUAGGCGGGGUAGGGGUAGGUCGAAGAAGUAUUGGGGUGAGGUGAUUAAGCGGGACAUGGAACAGUUACAGCUCACCGAGGACAUGACCCUAGAUAGGAAGGUCUGGAGGGCGCGAAUUUUGGCAGAGGAUUAGGGCCAGUUUGGGUCGCUAGUGUAGGAAAUUACUUGGUGGGUGGGGGUUUUAUUCCUGUUAUGAUUCCGUAUUCUGUGUUUCAUGUUUUAUUAUGAAUCUGUGUGCUUUUCUCUGUUUUAUAUUACUUAUGGGUGCCGUAUUUAUGUUAUGUAAUCUGCUUCUGCGCUUUAUUAUGUGUUUGUGUGGUAUCUCGUGCCUUGAGCCGGGGGGUCUAUCGGAAACAGCCUUUCUACUUCAUCAGAGAUAGAGGUAUGGACUGCGUACAUCUUACCCCCAGACCCCACUAGGUAGGAAUACACUGGGUUUGUUGUUGUUGUUGUAAGUCUAGAAUAUUAUUUUGAUUUAAUCUUCAUUCGUUGAACACGUGGCUGUUUUGAGUAUGUAAAAUGUGAAACUCCAUUCUAGUUCCAUUUUAUUAUCAAAUAUGAGUUUAAGGAAACGGAAAAGAAUGCUGCCCUCAAAAUUUAUUUUCCAGUGAAUACUUUGUCUUGUGUAUAUCUUGUUAUUUUCACGAUUGGGUCCUAGGAAGAAUAUUGGAGUCAGUACCAUCUUGCUCUAUCUCAUCUCGUAUGAUUUUAUGUGUGGCUGUUUCGUGUGCUUCUUUAAGUUAUAGGUAUUUUUACGGAGUUUGGUGCUAAUUUUUUUUCAAAGAAUCCGUUGAAAACUUGUUUGGUUUGAAUCCGAAAUAAUUGUGUUUUUGCCGAACUUAAUAUGAAAUAUUUAUGUGCGUGAAUUAUGGUUGAAAUGCUCUUGUUGUUCAAAUGAUGGGAAAUUUUGUUGUCUAUGAAACUAGUUAGAAUUCAGAUUUGAGAUUUUAUUGUUAGAGGAAUCUAUUGAGUUUAACCAAUUGAGACGAAAGGUAACUUAUAGUAAAAGGCAUAAUAUGGAACCAAGGUGAGGAAUUUAUGCGGCCAGGGAGUAGAACGAGCUAUAGAAAUGUCAAAUAAUUGCAGCAAUAAUUUCUCAGAACAUAACAUUGUCUUUUAAUUACCAAUAAAAUAAUUUAGAGAUCCAUUUGUAUAAGAUUAAAUCAUGUAAUUAGGCAGCUCAUUAGACUUCCUUUAAAAUGAGGUCACUGGUCAAAAUUAAUCCUAACUUCCUAGUGAAUAUGCCAAAGUCCCGAGAUAUGGUGUGAUUAGAAUUUCUAGUGACACAACCCUCUGCUUAUACGUUUACUUCCCUCUCGUGAAAUGGUUGUUUAUGUCCCCAAUUUGUUUGAACAAGUUCUGCCCGUGGUAAUAUAUUUGAUUUAUUAAACAUUAAUGGACUCUUUGCUAAUGAAUAUUCAAAUUCUCAACUACGACUCCUACAAUUUGGUGAGAAUGCCUUGUCAAUUUAUUUAUAUCGUACAUUUUGCGAUUUAUUAAGUGAUCUCUAAUCCUUAUCUCUUUUUUUUAUAUGUAAACUCGGGAGUUGGAAUUCCGCAACGGAACUCAUUUUGACCCAACAUCGGGUCAAUCACUACUAGGACCGCAGAGCCUCGGGGUCCCAUAAAUUAGAAGCCCAAACUCCUAAAUGGCAUCUCGUACUCUUUAUCUUCUUUUGACUUAAUUUAUAAUCGUCAUGUUGAGCUUUUUGUUUAGAAUAGUAACUAACUCUUGUUGUUGAAUUUGUUUACGGUAGCUUUACUGGAUUAUUGAACUCAUGUUGCUUUAUUA